rnacentral:rRNA from 1 species
GCGUAUGCAACCUACCUUUAUCAGGGGGAUAGCCCGGAGAAAUCCGGAUUAACACCGCAUAAAAUCACAGGAUAGCAUUAUCUAAUGAUCAAAUAUUUAUAGGAUAAAGAUGGGCAUGCGUGUCAUUAGCUAGUUGGCGGGGUAACGGCCCACCAAGGCGACGAUGACUAGGGGAUCUGAGAGGAUGGCCCCCCACACUGGUACUGAGACACGGACCAGACUCCUACGGGAGGCAGCAGUAAGGAAUAUUGGUCAAUGGAGGGAACUCUGAACCAGCCAUGCCGCGUGCAGGAAGACUGCCCUAUGGGUUGUAAACUGCUUUUAUCCGGGAAUAAACCUACUUACGUGUAAGUAGCUGAAUGUACCGGAAGAAUAAGGAUCGGCUAACUCCGUGCCAGCAGCCGCGGUAAUACGGAGGAUCCAAGCGUUAUCCGGAUUUAUUGGGUUUAAAGGGUGCGUAGGCGGCCUGUUAAGUCAGGGGUGAAAGACGGUAGCUCAACUAUCGCAGUGCCCUUGAUACUGAUGGGCUUGAAUGGACUAGAGGUAGGCGGAAUGAGACAAGUAGCGGUGAAAUGCAUAGAUAUGUCUCAGAACACCGAUUGCGAAGGCAGCUUACUAUGGUCUUAUUGACGCUGAGGCACGAAAGCGUGGGGAUCAAACAGGAUUAGAUACCCUGGUAGUCCACGCCCUAAACGAUGAACACUCGCUGUUGGCGAUACACAGUCAG